rnacentral:rRNA from 1 species
AUUGAACGCUGGCGGCAGGCCUAACACAUGCAAGUCGAGCGGUAGCACAGAGAGCUUGCUCUCGGGUGACGAGCGGCGGACGGGUGAGUAAUGUCUGGGAAACUGCCUGAUGGAGGGGGAUAACUACUGGAAACGGUAGCUAAUACCGCAUAACGUCGCAAGACCAAAGUGGGGGACCUUCGGGCCUCAUGCCAUCAGAUGUGCCCAGAUGGGAUUAGCUAGUAGGUGGGGUAAUGGCUCACCUAGGCGACGAUCCCUAGCUGGUCUGAGAGGAUGACCAGCCACACUGGAACUGAGACACGGUCCAGACUCCUACGGGAGGCAGCAGUGGGGAAUAUUGCACAAUGGGCGCAAGCCUGAUGCAGCCAUGCCGCGUGUAUGAAGAAGGCCUUCGGGUUGUAAAGUACUUUCAGCGGGGAGGAAGGCGUUAAGGUUAAUAACCUUAGCGAUUGACGUUACUCGCAGAAGAAACACCGGCUAACUCCGUGCCAACAACCGCGGUAAUACGGAGGGUGCAAGCGUAAUUCGGAUUUACUGGGCGUAAAGCGCACGCAGGCGGUCUGUUAGUCAGAUGUGAAAUCCCCGGGCUCAACCUGGGAACUGCAUUUGAAACUGGCAGGCUUGAGUCUUGUAGAGGGGGGUAGAAUUCCAGGUGUAGCGGUGAAAUGCGUAGAGAUCUGGAGGAAUACCGGUGGCGAAGGCGGCCCCCUGGACAAAGACUGACGCUCAGGUGCGAAAGCGUGGGGAGCAAACAGGAUUAGAUACCCUGGUAGUCCACGCUGUAAACGAUGUCGACUUGGAGGUUGUUCCCUCGAGGAGUGGCUUCCGGAGCUAACGCGUUAAGUCGACCGCCUGGGGAGUACGGCCGCAAGGUUAAAACUCAAAUGAAUUGACGGGGGCCCGCACAAGCGGUGGAGCAUGUGGUUUAAUUCGAUGCAACGCGAAGAACCUUACCUACUCUUGACAUCCAGAGAACUUAGCAGAGAUGCUUUGGUGCCUUCGGGAACUCUGAGACAGGUGCUGCAUGGCUGUCGUCAGCUCGUGUUGUGAAAUGUUGGGUUAAGUCCCGCAACGAGCGCAACCCUUAUCCUUUGUUGCCAGCGAUUCGGUCGGGAACUCAAAGGAGACUGCCAGUGAUAAACUGGAGGAAGGUGGGGAUGACGUCAAGUCAUCAUGGCCCUUACGAGUAGGGCUACACACGUGCUACAAUGGCAUAUACAAAGAGAAGCGACCUCGCGAGAGCAAGCGGACCUCAUAAAGUAUGUCGUAGUCCGGAUUGGAGUCUGCAACUCGACUCCAUGAAGUCGGAAUCGCUAGUAAUCGUAGAUCAGAAUGCUACGGUGAAUACGUUCCCGGGCCU